rnacentral:tRNA from 1 species
GCGGGCGUGGCGGAAUUGGUAGACGCGCCAGAUUUAGGAUCUGGUGGAGAAAUCCGUGGGGGUUCAAGUCCCUUCGCCCGCACCA